rnacentral:lncRNA from 1 species
GGGAGGCCAUAGUGGGGAAGAGACCAGGGGUCUACAGCCAGCUCUUCAACAGUUCUGCUCAAACUGCCCCAUCUUCACUAAACAAUCGAGAUCCUGGUACACAUUAUGAUCAGGAUAGCAGGUCUGAUACGUCUCGUGCCAGCUCGGCUCUGUCUGUGCCCAGUUCAGCCGGGGCCUCGUCUGCCUCAGUGGAACUUCUAGAUAUCUCUGUCCUGGGACAAACCUUGGACACACUCAAAGACAACAUGACAUCAGACCAAAUGCCCGAUGCUCCACAUCCAGGAACAGGUCACCUGGCUACGGUUGCAUCUCCUUCUUCUGAUAGACGUCCAGGAUCCAAUGUCAAGCCCAUCCUGCCACCGAUCCCCACUGGCCGCAAGACCCCAGUAGCACCCAGCCCGAUCCCUUCACCCAGACCAAGCUCUAAUCCGACAGUUGAAGAGGGAGCAGGUGCAAGCACGGAGGGUUAGGUUUCACAGCGAGUUUUGUUCAGAGUUCAGAGUUUUGUUCCAGAAUUGUUUUAACAAUGAAAUGAAGUGAUUCAGAGCUUGAAUUAAAGCUACACUUCUGUCCUGUUCUAGUUAUUAGAGUAAAUACACAGACAAUGUGGACUUAAUAAUAAUAAUAAU